GAUGAACGCUGGCGGCGUGCCUAAUACAUGCAAGUCGAACGCUGGAACUCUAGCUUGCUCGCUUGAAGGAGUGGCGAACGGGUGAGUAAUACAUAAGCAACCUACCCACGAAGACUGGGAUAAUCACUGGAAACGGGGACUAAUACCGGAUAGGUAAUCGGAAGGCAUCUUCUGAUUAUUAAAGGUUAAAAACACUGGUGGAUGGGCUUAUGGCGCAUUAGUUAGUUGGUGAGGUAACGGCCCACCAAGACGAUGAUGCGUAGCCGGCCUGAGAGGGUGAACGGCCACAUUGGGACUGAGACACGGCCCAGACGACUACGGGAGGCAGCAGUAGGGAAUUGUCGGCAAGGGGGGAAACCCUGACCGAGCAACGCCGCGUGAGUGAUGACGGCCUUCGGGGUGUAAAGCUCUGUUGUAAGGGAAGAACGGUAGAUAGAGAAUAUCUAAAUGACGGUACCUGACCAGAAAGCCACGGCUAACUACGUG
rnacentral:rRNA from 1 species